rnacentral:rRNA from 1 species
GACGAACGCUGGCGGCGUGCCUAAUACAUGCAAGUCGAGCGAAUCUGAUGGGAGCUUGCUCCUUGAUGAUUAGCGGCGGACGGGUGAGUAACACGUGGGUAACCUGCCUGUAAGACUGGGAUAACUCCGGGAAACCGGGGCUAAUACCGGAUAACUUUUUUCUUCGCAUGAGGGAGAAUUGAAAGAUGGCUUCGGCUAUCACUUACAGAUGGACCCGCGGCGCAUUAGCUAGUUGGUGAGGUAACGGCUCACCAAGGCGACGAUGCGUAGCCGACUUGAGAGGGUGAUCGGCCACACUGGGACUGAGACACGGCCCAGACUCCUACGGGAGGCAGCAGUAGGGAAUCUUCCGCAAUGGACGAAAGUCUGACGGAGCAACGCCGCGUGAGUGAUGAAGGUUUUCGGAUCGUAAACUCUGUUGUUAGGGAAGAACAAGUAUCGUUCGAAUAGGGCGGUACCUUGACGGUACCUAACCAGAAAGCCACGGCUAACUACGUG